AGGAAACGGAGUCUUUGAAGCUUGCCCAACGUCACCGGAAUUGGACCAUUUAAAUAGUUCAAGUAAAGAUCCAAGCUCACCAAGUUCGUCAAAUUCCCAAGCUCAUCCGGAAUUGUUCCGCUUAUGUUAUUACUAUAAAGUUCCAAGUAUUGCAAAUUUGAAAGCUGACCAAGUUGUGAAACGAGUUGACCCGUCAAAUUUGCAUUUCCAAGGUCAACUCGGGUAACACUAUUUUCACUGUUGCAGGUAACAUGAAACCAAGUGCAGGGAUUGACAAGGGUAGGAUCCCAACUUUGUAGAACGUUGUUAGGAUCAACUAAAUUGGUCUUCAAUGCGUUCAAGGCAUCGCCUUCAGCAUUACCAGCAACUCUGAAAACAAUGUGAAACAGCAAAAUCAAAC
rnacentral:misc_RNA from 1 species